rnacentral:rRNA from 1 species
UACGUAGGGUGCAAGCGUUGUCCGGAAUCAUUGGGCGUAAAGCGCGCGUAGGUGGCUUCGUAAGUCCGUUGUGAAAGUCAAAGGCUCAACCUUUGAAAGCCGAUGGAUACUGCGGAGCUAGAGUACGGAAGAGGCGAGUGGAAUUCCUGGUGUAGCGGUGGAAUGCGCAGAUAUCAGGAGGAACACCGGUGGCGAAGGCGGAUCUCUGGGCCGAUACUGACGCUGAGGAGCGAAAGCGUGGGGAGCGAACAGG